rnacentral:rRNA from 1 species
CCUACGGGCGGCAGCAGUGGGGAAUAUUGGACAAUGGGGGGAACCCUGAUCCAGCCAUGCCGCGUGUGUGAAGAAGGCCCUCGGGUUGUAAAGCACUUUCAGUGAGGAAGAACGCCUGGUGGUUAAUACCCAUCAGGAAAGACAUCACUCACAGAAGAAGCACCGGCUAACUCCGUGCCAGCAGCCGCGGUAAUACGGAGGGUGCGAGCGUUAAUCGGAAUUACUGGGCGUAAAGCGCGCGUAGGUGGCUUGAUAAGCCGGUUGUGAAAGCCCCGGGCUUAACCUGGGAACGGCAUCCGGAACUGUCAAGCUAGAGUGCAGGAGAGGAAGGUAGAAUUCCCGGUGUAGCGGUGAAAUGCGUAGAGAUCGGGAGGAAUACCAGUGGCGAAGGCGGCCUUCUGGACUGACACUGACACUGAGGUGCGAAAGCGUGGGUAGCAAACAGGAUUAGAUACCCCAGUAGUC